CGUUCCCAUACCGAACACGGAAGUUAAGCUCUUUAGCGCCGAUGGUAGUUGGGGGCUUCCCCCUGUGAGAGUAGGACAUCGCUAGGC
rnacentral:rRNA from 2 species